rnacentral:snoRNA from 1 species
ACCCUUUCAGGAUCACAUCUGGAGGGUUUCCAAUAGUCUACCAGUCUCAGCUACAGGAGGGGGAAUCAAGCAGAGGCAUAUCCAUUCCAUUCCUAGCUUGGACAGUGGCUAGUGAGUGGAAGGCAAUCUGUUACAAGU